UUCUUCGGAAGAGAAGUUUGUGAGGUAAGCGGCGAACGGGAGACUAAUGUAGGGGUAAUUUGCCUUGAAGCUCGGGAUAACCAUCCAAAAAGGUGGAUAAUACCAAAUGUGUUCGGCUACCGCCUGGUACCUUGUGUAAAGGUGGGGAUCUUCGGAUCUGCCACUUCCAGAUACGCCCAUAUCCUAUCAGCUUGUUGGUAAGGUAAUGGCUCACCCAGGCUUACGGAUAGCCAAACUGAGAGGGUGACCGGCCACCCUGUGACUGAGACACUGCCCGGACUCCUACCGGAGGCUGCGUCGAGAAUCAUUGUCCAUGCGCCAUAGUGUAAACGUGCGACGCCGUGUGGACAACGACGCCUUCGGGUUGUGACUCCAGUCCUGAGGGAGUAAGUGCAGAUUGGUUAAUACCCCGUCCGUUUGAUAGUACCUCAGAUGAAAGUCUCGGCUAACUCUGUGCUAGCAUCCGUGGUAAUACAGAGGUGGCGAGUGUUGUUCGAUUUUACUGGCCGUAAAGGUCCGCUGGCGGUCCUGCCUGGCAGAUGUGAAAGCUCACAGAUCAACUGUGGAAUUUCUCCUAAACUACAGACUAGAGUACACGACGGGAUAAAGGAGUUCCUGGAUGCGGGUGCAAUGCGUAGAUAUGAUGAAGAA
rnacentral:rRNA from 1 species